rnacentral:rRNA from 1 species
UACAGAGGAGCCAAGCGUUGUCCGGAUUGACUGGGCGUAAAGCGCACGCAGGCGGUUGCGCGCGUGGGGUGUGAAAUCUGGCCGCUUAACGGCCAGGCGCCAUCCCAUACGGCGCGACUGGAGGGCUGCAGAGGUCGAUGGAAUUGCCGGUGUAGUGGUGAAAUGCGUAGAGAUCGGCAGGAACACCGAUGGCGCAAGGGCAGCCCCCUGGGUCAAGAUUGACGCUCCAUGACACGAAAGGCGUGGGGAGCAAAC